rnacentral:lncRNA from 1 species
GUGAUACAUGUGGGUUCUAUCUUUUCCAUGCAUGGGCAUUCUGGAGUCAGGGGAAAGCAGUCGAGUUGAUUGAUUUGUCAAUUAGAGAUUCGUGUACACGACAUGAGGAAUUGUUCAGAUUCAUGCAAGAUAAGUAAAUUUUAUGUUUCAUCGAUGUUAGUUCUUUCCCUUUCUGCAUCGAGACUACAGUUAAACGCCAGCACUGGGAAAACUGGUUGU